rnacentral:lncRNA from 1 species
GUCUUCUUUGAUAUUUGCUUUGGGAGAACAUGGGCUAUCUUUUUCUCUUUUUUUCAGGUGGGUAGUAGACACCCCUAAUUCUACUUUCGGACACUUGUCCAUUUUUUCCGCUCAAGUGGGCAUCUUUGUACCCCUAAUUCUACUCCGGACACUUGUCCAUUUUUACCUCUCGUCUCACCCUUUUCUUCUUCCUUUUUCGAGGUUCCGGGCACUUGCUCCUUUUUAUUUCCUCGCAUAUUUUUUUGCAUAACCCAUGCCUCUUCUGCAUUUAAUCUUUUUAGAGAGAGAAUAACAAUACUUGGGACAAUGAGUGAUAAUAUUUUUAGCAAUUUUUAAUGAGUGGUGGUGGAUGUUGUAGU